rnacentral:lncRNA from 10 species
GAUACAUGCACAUAUAUGUUUAUUGCAGCACUGCUCACAAUAGCAGAGACUUGGAACCAACCCAAAUGCCCAUCAAUGAUAGACUGGAUAAAGAAAACAUGGCACAUAUACACCAUGGAAUACUAUGCAACCAUAAAAUAGGAUGAGUUUAUGUCCUUUGUAGGGACAUGGAUGAAGCUGGAAACCAUCAUCCUCAGCAAACUAACACAGGAACAGAAAACCAAACAUCGCAUGUUCUCACUCAUAAGUGGGAGUUAGACAAUGAGAACACAUGGACACAGGGAGGGGAACAUUAUACAUUGGGAUCUGUCCGGGGGUGGGGGGCUAGGGGAGGGAUAGCAUUAGGAGAAAUACCCAAUGUGGAUCACGGGUUGAUGGGUGCAGCAAACCACCAUGGCAUGCGUAUACCUAUGUUACAAACAUGCAUGUUCUGCGUAUGUAUCCCAGAACUUAAAGUAUAAUUUAAAAAAAAAGAUAAACAAAAAUUGGAUGAGGUUCGGAGAACGUCCCAAAUUCAACAAAAGGCGUUUCUACUCUGGUUUCUCUCUCUUCUUUCUUGAGAUUUUCUGUCAAUAGCAGUGACAUGGCUUUGGAAAGUUAAAACUAGGCAUAAAGAGGAAGGGAGGGGAAAGAUAGCCACAGAAAGCAAUGAUAUCAUGUUUUCUCCCAUUUCCAUUAUGGCUCUGAGUCCAUGAAUUAGAGUUGGUGAAAUCUGUGUGAAGAAAUCCUGCUUGCCUCUUCUAAUUUAUGUCCAAUGAAGUGACCUUCUUUAUAUCAUUUUGGUUGCAUUCCUGCUCUGGGAACUCUAAGAAUAUUUGCUAGAAGCAGAUAUUUAUGUGAACUUACUGAGUAAUACAACAAAGAGGGGGUUGUGUUGAUACCAUAGAUAAGAUCAAUGCAGAUGUACUGGGCCAAUUAGAAAUUUUCAUUACUUUAAAAAAAAAAAGACUUACAAGGCAGAAUACAGAAUAUAUCCAGCUGUGGGGUGUAGAGAACAGUUCACACCCUAGUCUCCAAGGUACUAUAUCUCAACUUCAUUUUUCUCACGCAAGAUCCAGUUAUUCCAAACUAAAAUUCUGUCUCCAGUGAUGUGGACAUGCCCACAGAAACACAGUAGUAAUGAGGUCAUUUAUAUGUGCACAAUUGAGAGAAAAGGUUAUUUCCCAGGAGAAGUCAUUUACCUUAUUUAACACUCCUACUGUGGCAUAUGUUCUUGGAUUAUAGUAUUUAUAUUUAAAUACACCUGGUUCCAAUGAAAACUCUCAGUUCACUCAGAAGAGCAGAGCGACAGUGAAUCUGACUGGUCUCACAAUGGAUCUCUGAGAUUGUCUAGAGGGGUGUGCAUGUGUGCGUGUGUACACGUGUUUAUCCAUAUAAAGUUACUGACAUAUAAAUACAAUGGAUGGAGGCAAAGCAUACACAAAGGACCUUGAACCUUGACUUCUGUCAGCAGAUAUGCCUGGAACCUUGCAAUAAAUCAACAAACGUUUCUUGCCAAAAUAUAUCUUUGCCCAUCGGAAAUGAAAAUAAAAUACUCCUUAAUAUUUUGUAUUAAUUUUUAAGGGAGAGUUCUAGUAAUAAGACUAGAUUGCAAAUCUUGGAAGGAUUCUAAUACACAGAAAGCAAGGAGAAGACAUAGUAACAAAUGCAUUACAAAGUAACCAAAUGAAUGGCCUGUUCUGCCCUUCCUGUUUCAGGUGUCAGUAUUUUGUUUUUUGCAGGUGGAAUUCAAGAUACAGAGUCUAUUAUAUUUAGACAGGUUCAACUGCUUUUUCACGUGGGGGUUAAAGUAUUGGGUUAUGAGACAAACUAAACUAAACAAUUUUGAGUUUGGCUGCUGUUCCUUUCUAAUUUUUCCUGACCUUCCCUUUCUUGGCAGUCUUAAGGCUCUAAUAUCUUGUCUUCUGGCUAUGAGAACAGAGCAUAUGGUUUGCUUGAAGAUUCUUGUUCAACACUUAUCCAUUAAUCUGACAGCAGGAAGUGCUAAAGAGCAGAAACAGGAGUCGGUCAGACUCUCACCUCAAGUCCAAGGCAAAUAUGCUUGCCCCUAAAAGACAUACUUGAUCUUCAAGUUCAGGAAAACCAGAUACAAAGCAGGCGUCUUCUCUAUUUGGUUUCCAUUUCGAAAUCAUGAAAUGAACGUACCGUCCUGACCUCCAGCCAUCUGUUGGCAGCUGAGAGAAAUAAGUAGGCAAUGUUGUUUGUAUCCGUCAGUUCCAGCAUACGUUGUUUAAAUCUGGUUUCAUGCCUGCAGAAAACAAAAACACGAUGUUAACCACACAACAGGAG